GUGGCGUAACGCAGGCAGACUCCUGCGAGUUCCCCUAAGUUCUUAGAGGACUGCUUUGCCGUUUGAAUCUGAGAGUUGCAAAAUUCCAUAAAGAAUGGCCCUUGUGGAUAAUCACAAAGUCAAGAGACAGUGCUUGAACAGAAUUUGUGAAGGUAACCGCCCCCAGAUCAUGAACGGCCCCCUGCACCCCCGCCCCCUGGUAGCGCUGUUGGACGGCCGUGACUGCACAGUGGAGAGGCUGAUCCUGAAGGACCUGGCCACCAUGGCCUUCUGUGACGCCCAGUCUACUCAGGAGAUCCACGAGAAGGUGUUAAACGAGGCUGUGGGCGCCAUGAUGUACCACACCAUCACCCUCACCAGGCAGGAUCUGGAGAAGUUCAAGGCCCUGAGAGUGAUCGUGCGGAUAGGCAGUGGCUACGAUAACGUGGACAUCAAGGCUGCUGGUGAGCUCGGGAUCGCUGUGUGCAACAUCCCCUCUGCAGCAGUGGAAGAGACGGCCGAUUCCACCAUCUGCCACAUUCUCAACCUAUACCGGAGAAACACAUGGCUGUACCAGGAACUGCGGGAGGGCAUGCGGGUACAGAGUGUGGAGCAGAUCCGAGAGGUGGCCUCGGGAGCAGCACGCAUCCGCGGGGAGACACUGGGCCUCGUCGGCUUUGGUCGCACGGGGCAAGCGGUUGCUGUUCGAGCCAAGGCCUUUGGAUUUAGCGUCAUAUUUUAUGACCCCUACUUGCAAGAUGGGAUAGAGCGGCCCCUGGGAGUGCAGAGGGUCUACACUCUACAGGACUUGCUGUAUGAGAGCGAUUGUGUCUCCUUGCACUGCAGUCUCAGUGAACAUAACCAUCACCUCAUCAAUGACUUUACUAUAAAGCAGAUGAGGCAAGGAGCAUUCCUUGUGAAUGUGGCCCAUGGUAGCCUGGUGGAUGAGAAAGCCUUAGCCCAGGCCCUCAAGGAGGGCAGGAUACAAGGGGCGGCCCUGGAUGUGCAUGAAUCCGAGCCCUUUAGCUUUGCUCAGGGUCCAUUGAAGGAUGCACCAAACCUCAUCUGUACUCCCCACACAGCCUGGUACAGUGAGCAGGCCUCACUGGAAAUGAGGGAGGCUGCUGCCAUGGAGAUCUGGCGGGCAAUCACAGGUCGCAUCCCAGAAAGCUUAGGAAACUGUGUGAACAAGGAAUUCUUUGCCAGGUCAGCAAUAGACCAACAAGCAAUUCAUCCGGAGCUCAGUGGUGCCACAUACAGAUACCCACCAGGUAUUUUGGGCGUGGUUCCAGGACGACUGCCUGCAGCCAUGGAAGGGAUCAUCCCUGGAGGCAUUCCAGUGACUGACGACCUCCCUUCAGUGGCACACCCUUCCCAAGUGCCCUCUUCCAACCAGCCCACAAAACUCAGGGACAAUUGA